GAUGAACGCUGGCGGCGUGCCUAAUACAUGCAAGUCGAGCGAACAGACGAGGAGCUUGCUCCUCUGACGUUAGCGGCGGACGGGUGAGUAACACGUGGAUAACCUACCUAUAAGACUGGGAUAACUUCGGGAAACCGGAGCUAAUACCGGAUAAUAUAUUGAACCGCAUGGUUCAAUAGUGAAAGACGGUUUUGCUGUCACUUAUAGAUGGAUCCGCGCCGCAUUAGCUAGUUGGUAAGGUAACGGCUUACCAAGGCAACGAUGCGUAGCCGACCUGAGAGGGUGAUCGGCCACACUAGAACUGAGACACGGUCCAGACUCCUACGGGAGGCAGCAGUAGGGAAUCUUCCGCAAUGGGCGAAAGCCUGACGGAGCAACGCCGCGUGAGUGAUGAAGGUCUUCGGAUCGUAAAACUCUGUUAUUAGGGAAGAACAAAUGUGAAAGUAACUAUGCACGUCUUGACGGUACCUAAUCAGAAAGCCACGGCUAACUACGUG
rnacentral:rRNA from 1 species